GAUGUUGUAGCUCAGUGGUAGAGCACAUUCUUAGAAUGUGUAAGGUCCUGGGUUAAUUCCCAGUAGCACA
rnacentral:tRNA from 1 species